rnacentral:lncRNA from 1 species
CCCAUGGUUCAUGAAUCCAAACAAACAUAGGGACUUGUAUAAUCUAAGAGUUCCUGGAAUCACAGUAAUUGGUUGUCAACAAACAAAAGUAACAACCAGUUUCCGAAACCCCACUAUGUAUUAGUAAACAUAUGGUUGUCACAUAAAAAUGUCUUCAUCCAAGGAAAUCAAAAACAAUAUUUAUGGUUUCUUGUUACGACCACGUCACUAAUACAACACAUACAUCAAGUACUCCAACCCUAAUGGGGAAAUGACACACUAUCUUCCCAUGAAAGGUUAUGUGUAGGUCAAAAAGAAAAGAAAAGAAUUCAUGGUUUCUUCAAUGACAAAUUCAUUUGAAGCAAGUGGAAAACUGGUAAAGCUUUGGAGCCUUGCACAAGGUUGGAACUUUAAAGCCUCACAUUCCCAAACAAUCUUAAGGAGGGCCAACAUAAUUGAAACCAAGAAGAACUAAGCAAUAGAUCAGCUAGAGAGCAAUACCUGCACUGGCCAAUGAUGACACAGUGGCAUGUUUGGGAAUAAUUAUGAAAGGUUCCUAUUCAUAUUCACACGGUGCGUGUUUCAACAAUAAUUCUGCCCCUGAUAGAAACAAUUUUAGCGAGUGAGCACUUCCUGUCAAUGUAUCUCCCUGAAAUGAAAUAAGUUAAUAAUCAGAUUUCAUCCUCCCUAGAAUGGAGCAAAUUAAUAAUUUGAUUACAUUCUUAUAAGCAACAUAUUGCCUAAAUACUCCAUAGAGGUUACUGACAAGUAAACAACAUAAGCCACAUGCAUC